UUUUGGACGCCCGCGAUAAUGUUGAAGCUCAAGCUAAUUAUGUAGGAGUUUCAAGCAUCAGUAUGUCUGUUAAUGACGAUGCAACCCUAGAAAGAACUUCCCUUACAAAUAAGUCUAAAAAAAUACGCCAGAAUGGAAACUUCCAUGGAAUUCCUAGAAAUUUGUUUGAAUGCUUGAUCCGGAAGCAUCGCUCUAUAUACUUUCAGGUCAUCAUGCUACUAUUUAAAAUUAUGUAUUUACAGAGUAUUAAACACUGAAUAUUUGUACAGUUUACCAUUAACAACGAAUCUUUAUGAAUUCAUAUAUGCUUUAUUGGCUAUUGUAGACUUUAGUUUCAAAAACUCAUUGAUUCUUAAGCAUGUUAUUGAGUUUGCUCUAGGGGUAAGACUACAGCAGUUUAUGUAUGAAAACCGUUGCGCCAUUAAAAUCUUGAAAAUAAAUAGUAUUACUGUGAGUAACUUGAUUUGCUUUUGUGUGAAAAUGAUGCUGCCGAAAUCCAUUCUGAUUCAGAUCUGCAUUUUUAUUAUACAAUUGUUUCUCUGUACUUUCUUUUUUUCACAUUCUGUUUAAGUGUAUUUUAGCUCAACUGAGAACUGAUUGCUCUUGGUUAGCUUUAUGGAAGGUGGCCGUCCGGAAUCGCGCGUAGUGUGUCGUGCAUCGUUCGGGGUCCGUCAUCAACAAUUUUCUUUAAGAGUUAUUCCUUAAACCAUAUGCCUCUAUGGUUAUUUUCACCAAACUUGACCCAUUUAUGCCUAGCGUCUAGAAAAGGCCUUGGCAAACAACGUAGACCCAGAUGAGACGCCGCAUGAUGCGGCGUCUCAUCAGGGUCUGCGCUGUUUGCUUAAAGGAAUUUCUGUAAGAAAUAUUAUCAAUAUAGAGAUAUACUAGACAUCCCUAAUUUUGGAAAUAAAUUGAUCCCAUUUAGAAGGAUGAGAGAGUCCACUAGGCAUAAACGGGUUAACUGGAAUGAUCCUGUAGCGUGAUCUUCCUAAGUUACAGUUAGCUGCAUAUUUAGGUAAUAAAUAGAAGUCUUCUAAGCUUUUCUGCAACAACAAGACACGGAGCUUUGAUAUUUGACGUUAUCAAACUUUAGUUUGGAUUGAUAAACCAUAUCUUCUUAUAUUUUUAAACCAAUUUACAGAUAUCAAAUAUUAUCAAAGAUACCGGUAAUUAAGGAUGUUCGAUCGUUUCCACUUUACGGUAAUUGAUUCACUAUAUCGUGAAAAUUAAAAACCUUUAUAUAUUUUCACGGUUUCAAAAUAUUAGGUUGGAAUAAACGAGUGUAAAUUCUAGUUUUACUGUUUUGAUUAUGCGCCUUUAAAUUUUCGGCAUUUACAUAUUUUCGAGAUUUACUGCAUUGAAACCAAGCGUUCGAUUGCUUGACGUCACUUCGUGAUCGACAUCGAUGAAACGCUUGCUUACGCUGUAGAUGUUAUUUUCUGUGCAAAUACAAGCGUCUAUUGAUAACGAAACGAUAAUUUGUCAACAAUGAGAAUCAGAUACUUGGCUUAAUAAUUUUCAUUUAAAAUGUCUAAUUUGGAUAUAAUUCGGAAUACAAAACGAAACUUAAAAGGUAUUGAAAACAACAACGUUCAAAAGAACAAUGUGGAUUUCAAUAGAAAGACUAUUUCCACCGACAAUCAGGAUUUCCGGUAUGACCACUGUUAUUUUGACGAUUUUUCUAUCGGUUCGUCGGUAAGCGUGACCACAUGUGACAACAGCGAUGCUAGUUGGAUAUAAAAUUGGUAGACGUGUCGUUGAACUCGACACAUUGACCGAAUCGCGUUUAGCAUGCAGUGCUUGUCAAGUGCCCAUGAAUUUACUUAACACUGUAGAAAGCAGGGAUUUCGGACAGGCAUGUGUUUUGGACAUACAGUUUAGCAAUUGUGGUGCAGUAAAUAAUGUGGCUACUGGACGGAAACAUGGCAGAGUUUAUGACAUGAUCACAAAGCUUGCAUUUGGGUAAAUCAAAAACUGGGUGUUUCACCUGGGACUUUCACAUCGAAACUGGCCCUUCUCCAUGACCUUCAGCACAAAAAAGAAAGGCUAUAGCUGUUACUCGUGCAGCAAAACAGUGACGCAUAAGACUUAAAACUCGAACGGCAUUCAAAGGACAGUGCAAGAAGUACAAGUGGGACCAACAUACAGUUCAAACAUAGAGGACCAAGACGUUGAAGUUACAACUAUACCCCCACCUAUACCCAAGCCUGGUCAAGCAGGGCUAGACACUACUGGGAAGGAAUUUGUUUUCUUUGAUUUGGAAACAAGAGGGUUAGAGCACACUUCUCACAUAAUUCAGAUAGCUGCAGUGCAUUCAACUGGUCAAUUUUCAACAUAUGUGAUGCAUGAGAAGAAGAUUUCCUUGCAAGCGUCAGAAAUAACUGGAGUGACAGUUGUUAGCGACUCUAUGCUUGUCAAGAGACAAACAGUAACAGCUGUCCCCAUCAAAUCUGCAUUGACAAGUUUUAUAACAUUCUUACAGAAAUGUUCACCAAUUAUUUUAGUUGGGCAUAAUAUAGAGUCUUUUGAUUGUAAAGUGUUGCUCCGUGCUAUCCAUACUUGUUGAAAAAUGUUUGAGUUUCAGCAAAAUAUUUGUGGCUUUUUAGAUACUUAAAAAUGUUAAAGGAAAUAUUACCAAAUAUGAAAUCAUAUAAGCGGGAACAUUUAGUUAAAGACGUCAUUGGUGAAUUAUACAUGGCACAUGGCGCUAUACAGGAUAUUUUAGCUUUACAAAAGUUAGUGAACUUUGUUCCUCUUGACCAAAAAUUGUUAACAAAUAUUCAUUCAGCUUUUACCGAGCAGUGUUAACAUACAAUGUGUAACUAAAGGUUGCUUCCAACAUCAAAUCUUUACAAACCAUAAUUGAUACAAAAUUUAUAAGUCAAGGUGUUGCAAGGAAAGUUGCAGGAAGUGGAUUUCAACUUAAACAUUUGAGUCCUGUAUCAAAAAGAAACGGACUGAGUGGUUUGAGGAGCCCCCUGUCAGAGGUUACAAACAGACAAAUCAGAGUAACAAAAUCAAAGAAAAUAAUAUGUACAAUAGCGAGUUAUUUGUUGCCUGACAUCUAACCAAUUGUAAUUUGCAUCUUGUAUAUAGAUAAGCUAUGAAUUCUAAUAGCUGUUACAUAAUUGUUUUUCCUUCUCGAUGACGAACAUAGUUGUGAUUCUUAUGUCAGUUGUAUUUCUCAUGUUUCACCUAAGUUGUAAGAUAUUUUUGGCAGUGCAUUAAACCACAGAUGGUGUGUGAAACAUAAUUGCCCAGCUUAAUGUAUUCUUUGUUGUUUUAAGCUUCACUGGCCAAAGGCCAGCGGGGCUUAUGUUAUGAUUCUGUGUCCGUCGUGCGUGCGUGCCUGAACGUUUCCUUUAAACAUCUUCUUCUCCUAAACUACUGGUCCAAUUGUGAUGAAAUUUCUCAGGAAUGUUCCUCUUUCAACGUUGUUCAAAUUAUGCCCCUGGGGUCAAAUUUGACCCUGCCCCGGGGUCACAAAAUUGAACAUAUGCUUAUAUAGGGUUUAUUUUGUGAAAACUUCACAUAUUUUUUCGUCCAUAACCAUUGGGCCUUGGGCUUCCAAAUUUGGUAUGUAGUGGCAUCUUAUAGUCCUCUACCAAGUUUGUUCAAAUUAUGCCCCUAGGGUCAAGUUUGACCCUGCCCUGAGGUUCACAAAAUUGAACAUAUGCUUAUAUUAGGCAUUUUUUGUGAAAACUUUAAAAAUCUUCUUGUUCAUAUUAGUAUGGCAUAGGGCUACCAAAUUUGGUAUGUAGUGACAUGUAAUAGUUCUCUACCAAGUUUGUUCAAAUUAUGCCCCUUGGGUUAAAUUUGAAACUGCCCCAGGGGUUACAAAACUGAACAUAUGCUUAUAAAGUGCUUAAUUUGUGAAAACUUAAAAAAAAAUUGUCCAUAUCUAUUGGGCCUAGGGCUACCAAAUUUGGUAUGUAGUGACAUCUUAUAAACCUCUACCAAAUUUGUUCAAAUAAUGCCUCUGGGGUCAACUUUGACCCUGCCGCGGGGGGUCACAAAAUUUAAUAAACGCUUAUAAAGCGCCUAUUUUGUGAAAUCUUAAAAAAUCUUGUCGAAAACCAUUCUGACUAUGGCUACCAAAUUUGGUAUGCAGGAACAUCUUAAAGUCAUCUACCAAGUUUGUACUUUGGGUCAAAUUUGACCCUGACCCGCGGGUCACAAAAUUUAACAUUAUAUACGCUUGUAUCUUGCUUAUUUUGUGAAAACUUUAAAAAUAUUCUUGUCCUUAACUCUACAUCUAAGACUUAGGGCCACCACAUUUUGUAUGGAGUGAGAUAUAGUAGUCCUCUACAAAGUUUGCUCAAAUUAUGCCCCUGGGGUUAAAUUUGACCCAGCCCAGGUGGUCACAAAAUUGUACAUGUGCUUAAAUAGGGCCUAUAUUUAAGUAUCUGCACAUGCGGAGAAUAUUUGUUUCAGUCUUUUUUUCAGCAGUGGAGCGAUACAGGGCCAUCAUGGCCUCUUGUCUUUAAAUACACAUCACACAGUUCUAAAAAUAAUUUUAAAAUACCUAAUACAUAUGUUCAAUUUACAACCAACAACAUGGGUAACAGGUGGGUGGGGUAAUUUAAGAUGUUUAUAUGAACAUCAACAUUGUUUUUUCAGUUGUUACAUCUGAAAUAUUUUCAUAACAAUAUACAUUAAAAAUAUUUCUACGUGUAUCACAUUUCAGUUGAUAAUUUGAUUGUUAUGGAGCAGUUAUUAUAUAGAUAUGUUUUAAUUACUAUUACAAUGUUUGUCAUUGUAUUUUUGAAAUUAAGUCCAUAUUAAAAUGUCUAUAGCAAAAAAAAAUCCACGGUGACCUACUAAUUUCUUUACUUCAUUUUA